rnacentral:misc_RNA from 1 species
UCACCCUUCAAGCCCCCGGGCUUAGUGUUGGACGGUUUGGUUUUGGUGACAAGACCCCUCCUAAAAUUAAUGACGGCGGCCUGUUCGACCCCCGGUACACUGAGCUUUUUAACUGAGCACGUAUCGGUCUCAGGGUAGACAGGACCCGGUCUUCUUCCUUAACCGGAAAAUUUUUCCAAAAAGG